AAUCAAAUCUCUAUUAAUUUUUAGUCAAUUUUCUUUCGGUACAAAACACUAGUCCAAUUCCCUCAAAAAAAAAAAAAAAAAAACACUAGUCCAAUCUAAACACAAAACUCCACCGUGUGCCUUCCUUCUCCUUCGUCUCCUACUCUUCAAACACCACCGCAAAAUCGAAAAUCUACCUCAAUCUGUAGCUCUCUAAAUUACCUCUCACUGUUCAAUCCCUAGAUUUUUAGGGUUUCAGAUCUAUAUUCCCUUUCACCAUUCAAUCCCUAGCUUUUUAGGGUUUUCGAUCUAUUCCUCUUCCUCGUGUUUUUUCUUUGACCAAAAUUAAUGGCUUCAAUCCGAAAGACCCUAUCUCCCCGACCUUCUUAGUGGCGUUAUAGUUUCAGAGAUUAUCUAGCGGCGUUGGUGGCUACGAUAAGGGUUUCAUGGUUGAUCAUGUAAGCUUUAGCUUAAGCACGAACACUGAGAAGGAAUUAACAGAUUGUAGAUCUGAAUUUGUUGAAGGAUUUUUUCUGGUUUGUGGUUCUAGGUAUUUUGGUGGGGUUUUUGAAAUCAAGUCAUGUGUGAAUCCACUGAGAUAAGGGAAAACAUCUUCUAGAGUUCUAGCAAACUAUAUUUUGUCAAUCUCAAGUCAUUUUGCAACACCAAAGUUUUGCAUUGGAGAAAUACGAUGAAAAGGAAUUACGAUCAAAGAAAGGUUGGAAUUGAUAAUGAUCGUUUAAAGAAAGUAACAUAAGGCAUAUUGUAGGUGAUUCUUCGUAUGAUUAAGUAGCCAAGAUUGUGGGGGUAUUGAAAGGAAAUUUACUAUUUUACAGUUUGCUCAAUUUUAGUUGUAUUUAUAGUUUUGAGAAAAUAUUGUCUUAGUUUGUAUUAAAAAGUCAUGGGAGCAUUAACCAUGACUUUAGGUGUUUUAUAGUUUUUUAUUUGAAUAAGUCUUCAGGUGUUUUAUAGUAGCAGUACAUGUUUGCUACUUUUUAGUACCCAUACCAUAGAGUGGAGGUACUCCACUAUGCAUUUAUGUAAUACUAUACAAAUAUUUGAAUAAAGGAUUUCAUGUAUUUUUGCCUCA